rnacentral:rRNA from 1 species
AUUGAACGCUGGCGGCAUACUUUACACAUGCAAGUCGAACGGUAACAGGCCGCAAGGUGCUGACGAGUGGCGAACGGGUGAGUAAUGCAUCGGAACGUGCCCAGUCGUGGGGGAUAACUACUCGAAAGAGUAGCUAAUACCGCAUACGAUCUAUGGAUGAAAGCGGGGGACCGUAAGGCCUCGCGCGAUUGGAGCGGCCGAUGUCAGAUUAGGUAGUUGGUGGGGUAAAGGCUCACCAAGCCAACGAUCUGUAGCUGGUCUGAGAGGACGACCAGCCACACUGGGACUGAGACACGGCCCAGACUCCUACGGGAGGCAGCAGUGGGGAAUUUUGAACAAUGGGCGCAAGCCUGAUCCAGCAAUGCCGCGUGCAGGAAGAAGGCCUUCGGGUUGUAAACUGCUUUUGUACGGAACGAAACGGCUCUGGUUAAUACCCGGGGCUAAUGACGGUACCGUAAGAAUAAGCACCGGCUAACUACGUG